rnacentral:rRNA from 1 species
CGACUCUCGGCAACGGAUAUCUCGGCUCUCGCCACGAUGAAGAA